rnacentral:rRNA from 1 species
AGAGUUUGAUCCUGGCCCUGGAUGAACGCUGGCGGCGUGCCUAAUACAUGCAAGUCGAACGGAGAUUGUAGCAAUACGGUCUUAGUGGCGAACGGGUGAGUAACGCGUUGGCAACCUGCCCCGAAGUGUGGGAUAACGGUCCGAAAGGGCCACUAAUACCACAUGUGAUCCCGAGGAACAGAUACUUGGGAUGAAAGGAGCGAUUCGCUUCGGGAGGGGCCUGCGUCCCAUCAGCUAGUUGGUAAGGUAACGGCUUACCAAGGCGAUGACGGGUAGGGGACCUGAGAGGGUGGCCCCCCACAAUGGAACUGAAACACGGUCCAUACACCUACGGGUGGCAGCAGUAGGGAAUAUUGGUUAAUGUGCGAAAGCGCGAACCAGCAACGCCGCGUGUGCGAUGAAGGCCUUCGGGUCGUAAAGCACUUUUUGCAGGGAAGAGGAAGGACGGUACCUGCAGAAUAAGUCUCGGCUAACUACGUGCUAGCAGCCGCGGUAAAACGUAGGAGACGAGCGUUAUCCGGAUUUACUGGGCGUAAAGCGCGUGCAGGCGGCAUGGCAAGUUGGAUGUGAAAGCUCCCGGCUUAACUGGGAGAGGUCGUUCAAUACUGCCAGGCUUGAGAGUGGUAGAGGGAAGCGGAAUUCCGGGUGUAGUGGUGAAAUGCGUAGAUAUCCGGAGGAACACCAGUGGCGAAAGCGGCUUCCUGGCCCAUUUCUGACGCUCAGACGCGAAAGCUAGGGUAGCAAACGGGAUUAGAGACCCCGGUAGUCCUAGCCGUAAACGAUGUGAACUUGGCGUUGGCGGGUUUAAAUCCGUCAGUGCCGUAGCUAACGCGAUAAGUUCACCGCCUGGGGACUACGGCCGCAAGGUUAAAACCAAAGGAAUUG